GUUCGCAGGCCGGUCGGCGUUUGGGGCAAGAUCGUGGGUUCGCUGUGUGCAAUCGCUGGUGUAUUGACCAUUGCGCUGCCAGUGCCAGUCAUAGUUUCGAAU
rfam:Tribolium castaneum strain Georgia GA2 linkage group LG3, whole genome shotgun sequence.